GGCGAAGCGCGGGUCCCGAGAGUAGAGCCGCAGCUGCCAGCCGGCCGGGCCCAGUGGCUGUAGGUCGUCCACCAGCGCCCGCAGCGCGUCGUAGGCCGCCUCGUCGAAGCGGUAGGCCAGCGAGAUAUGCAGCGAUUUCACGUGCGGCUCCAGGUUUAUUGCU